rnacentral:rRNA from 1 species
CAGCAGCCACGGUAAUACGUAGGUGGCAAGCGUUGUCCGGAAUUAUUGGGCGUAAAGGGCUCGCAGGCGGUUUCUUAAGUCUGAUGUGAAAGCCCCCGGCUCAACCGGGGAGGGUCAUUGGAAACUGGGAAACUUGAGCGCAGAAGAGGAGAGUGGAAUUCCACGUGUAGCGGUGAAAUGCGUAGAGAUGUGGAGGAACACCAGUGGCGAAGGCGACUCUCUGGUCUGUAACUGACGCUGAGGAGCGAAAGCGUGGGGAGCGAACAGGAUUAGAUACCCGCGUAGUCCCUGUCUCUUAUAC